UUCUAUUUCAGUAUUCACUAAUGAAGAAAUAACAAUUGGACCAAAGAAUGGCUAAUAUGUCACUGCAUCUGAUGGGUAUUGCCUUGCUGAACCAGUACAUACAGUACAAUGUUAAGGGACAGGAAGAACUCUGUGCAGUGUGUGGUGAUAAAGCUUCAGGAUAUCACUAUAUAUAAUGUGCUUACUUGUGAAGGCUGCAAAGGUAAGGAUAAAGUUAAAACAAAACUUUAGUCUUAGUGUUCACUGAAGAGUUUUGGUCUUUUGUCUUUUUAGGACCAAACCCGUGGCAAAUGGAGUUCCCAGGCUAGGGGUCUAAUCGCAGAUCCAAGCAGCAUCUGCGACCUACACCACAGCUCAUGGCAACGCCAGAUCCUUAACCCACUGAGCUAGGCCAGGGAUCGAACCCAAGAUCUCAUGGUUCCCAGUCAUAUUUGUUUCCGCUGUGCCACAAUGGGAACUCCGAGAAUACUCUUACUUUUUUUAAAUGUGAAAAAUAAAACCAAGGAGAGCCAUUGAUAUAUUAAAUGUGAUUAAUCUGUAGGAUCAGAGAAUUGAUGAUGGAAUGCAGUAAAGUUUUCAUUUUCAUUUUGAUGAAGGCUUUUACAUUUAAAUAUAAAAUUCAAAAUAUAUAUGUGACAGAAAGUUUCCAUGCUCCUAAAUGAAUACGAUCUUGGAAUAGAACAUAUCUUUUAAAAAGACCUGAAUGUUAAUUUAACCAUUACAUCUUUUUUUUUUUUUUUUUUUUUUUUUUUUUGGUCUUUCUGUCUUUUCUAGGGCUGCACUGGCGGCAUAUGGAGGUUCCCAGGCUAGGGGUCCAAUCGGAGCUGUAGCUGCCAGCUUAUGCCACAGCCACAGCAGCACCAGAUCUGAGCCGCGUCUGAGGCCUACACCACAGCUCAGGGCAAGGCGGGAUCCUUAACCCACUGAGCAAGGCCAGGGAUCUAACCUGCGUCCUCAUGGAUGUUAGUCAAACUCAUUAAUCACUGAGCCACUAGGGGAACUCCUUGACAUCUUUUCUUCAACUUCACUGGCACAGUCAUAGCUCGAGUCCUCAUACCUUCCUUACUCAGGUUAUUAAAACUAUCUCCCUAACUCCAGCCACAUAAGCCU
rnacentral:lncRNA from 9 species